rnacentral:misc_RNA from 1 species
GGAAUGGCCAUCCAACUAGGG